rnacentral:lncRNA from 1 species
UAAGCCCAAGUUGGCCGCCGAUUACUGCAAGCGUUGCCUCUACCAGCUGUCCACGAACCCUUCGUUGUGGCCAUGGUCGCGACGAGAACAGGCUGAGAGAGCUUGCGAGAUAAGCUCUAUUCAUCGUUGGCAACUGUAUUGCGAAGUUAGCUCUUUCAAAGCGUUUCUCUUAAAUGAAAGUUUGAAAGGUUUCUUGCCUGGCUGAGAGCUUGCAGUUUUUCCUCUGGACUCCUUUCAAAAUGUAAGUCUCCGAUCGUGUCAAGAGAAAGAAAGAAUCUAUAAAUCACAAAAUAACCUUACCUAAUGCUUGCAGAGAGGUUUGUGAUGGAAUGAAUGGACGCUGUCUGGAGGUCCAGCUCUUCUCCGCGGCUCACCAGCGAUGUAGCAGUAGUGGGUUCUAGUCCAAGUUUGCGCUGCAGC